rnacentral:rRNA from 1 species
UACGAAGGGGGGCUAGCGUUGUUCGGAUUUACUGGGCGUAAAGCGCACGUAGGCGGAUUGUUAAGUCAGGGGUGAAAUCCUGGGAGCUCAACUCCAGAACUGCCUUUGAUACUGGCAACCUUGAGUCCGGAAGAGGUGAGUGGAACUCCUAGUGUAGAGGUGGAAUUCGUAGAUAUUAGGAAGAACACCAGUGGCGAAGGCGGCUCACUGGUCCGGUACUGACGCUGAGGUGCGAAAGCGUGGGGAGCAAACAGG